UACAGAGGGUGCGAGCGUUAAUCGGAGUUACUGGGCGUAAAGGGCGCGUAGGCGGUUAUAUAAGAUUGAUGUGAAAUCCCUGGGCUUAACCUAGGAAGGACGUCGAUGACUGUAUGACUGGAGUACUGUAGAGGGUAGUGGAAUUUCCGGUGUAGCGGUGAAAUGCGUAGAGAUCGGAAGGAACACCAGUGGCGAAGGCGGCUACCUGGACAGAUACUGACGCUGAGGCGCGAGAGCGUGGGGAGCAAACAGG
rnacentral:rRNA from 1 species